UGAGCAAUCUGCCCUUCUCUUCGGAAUAAGCGUUGGAAACGACGUCUAAUGCCGAAUACGACCUCCUUUCGCAUGAUCGGAGGUGGAAAGCUCCGGCGGAGAAGGAUGAGCUCGCGGCCUAUCAGCUAGUUGGUGUGGGUAAUGGCCCACCAAGGCGACGACGGGUAGCCGGCCUGAGGAGGGUGAUCGGCCACAUUGGAACUGAGACACGGUCCAGACUUCCGUACGGGAGCAG
rnacentral:rRNA from 1 species